rnacentral:rRNA from 1 species
GAUGAACGCUGGCGGCGUGCUUAGCACAUGCAAGUCGAACGGAAAGGCUCCUGCUUGCAGGGGUACUCGAGUGGCGAACGGGUGAGUAACACGUGGGUGAUCUGCCCUGCACUUCGGGAUAAGCCUGGGAAACUGGGUCUAAUACCGGAUAGGACGAUGGUUUGGAUGCCAUUGUGGAAAGUUUUUCGGUGUGGGAUGAGCUCGCGGCCUAUCAGCUUGUUGGUGGGGUAAUGGCCUACCAAGGCGUCGACGGGUAGCCGGCCUGAGAGGGUGUACGGCCACAAUGGGACUGAGAGACGGCCCAGACUGCUACGGGAGGCAGCAGUGGGGAAUAUUGCACAAUGGGCGCAAGCGUGAUGCAGCGACGCCGCGUGCGGGAUGACGGCCUUCGGGGUGUAAACACCUUUCGCUAGGAACGAAGCGCUAGUGACGGUACCUGAAGAAGAAGCACCGGCUAACUACGUG